rnacentral:rRNA from 1 species
UAGAGCUUACGCCCGCGAGGGCGACCCUCUCCACCCUCUGCGUACCCAUACUUUGUUGCCUUAGCGGGCCGCCCUCGGGCCUCGCGCGCCCGCCAAUGACCAAACCCUUUUUUAUUCCUGUUGUCUGAGCACUAUACAAUAGUUA